GUGGGUUUGGGGCACCGCCAAGUCCUUAGAGUUUUAAGCGUUUGUGCUCGUAGUUCUCAGGCGGAUACUUUGGUUAUAUAGAGCAUCAAGAUUUAGGGCCAG
rnacentral:rRNA from 1 species